AUUGUUGAUGGAUUAUGAUCGGUGUUAUAGUUUCAUUAUAGGUGAGGAGCUGAAUAUCUGACAAUGAAAAGUUCAAAUGUGCACUCAAUAAAUUUCAACAGGAUGGGAGUAUUCAGCUGACGGAAAGUGUGAGACAAUGCCAUCAACGAGAUCACUGAAUGUAAAGAUCAAAGCACUACUCUGCUUUGAGCAAGGGAGAAUGAUAUGGAUUUGGCCAGAAAAUGAUCCACCUGCAGCUACCCUUUCUUUUUUACUAUGCUAUGACCUUCUGAAUUCAAAUUCAUGCAGAGCUGGGUUAAGUUCUUGACUCAUACAUCUGGUCUGCAAGGAUAUUGAGAUCUGUAUCCAAUAGAUAUGAAAUUUAGACGAUCUUUGAUGGUUUAAUCCACCAUUGGCAUCUCAAAGCUAGGAAAUUUUGAGGGACAAAGCACGAAGCAAUGUUCAACUUCAUCAACUGCAUGUUGCUUACCUAUAUUACAAUAGAAUAUACGGUUAUUGUAUCGAAUGUCACUAGGUUUUCUCCCUGUUGAAACACAUCCCCAUCAUGCAAUAUGUAUGGAGACAUUUUGCUGUGCAAGUUGGUU